rnacentral:lncRNA from 9 species
AAACUACAACAACCCCUUUCCAAACAUCUAGGAUGCAUGGUCUUGUGAAAAAGACCUAAAAUCGUCACAUCUUGCUUUGUCUACAAGUACCUAAGCCCUAGGCACCCCUGCUGCUGGUCAUUGAAAGAUGAAGGAUGAAAUGAUUGCUUUCAAGAGUGGGUAAUCACUGGUCUCAAGCACCCCAUCAAAUAGCAUCAUCAGCAGAGGGCAAGUGGGA